UACGUAGGGCGCAAGCGUUGUCCGGAAUUAUUGGGCGUAAAGAGCUCGUAGGCGGUCUGUCGCGUCGGAUGUGAAAGCCCGGGGCUUAACCCCGGGUCUGCAUUCGAUACGGGCAGACUAGAGUGUGGUAGGGGAGAUCGGAAUUCCUGGUGUAGCGGUGAAAUGCGCAGAUAUCAGGAGGAACACCGGUGGCGAAGGCGGAUCUCUGGGCCAUUACUGACGCUGAGGAGCGAAAGCGCGGGGAGCGAACAGG
rnacentral:rRNA from 1 species